CCUACGGGUGGCAGCAGUGAGGAAUAUUGGUCAAUGGACGAGAGUCUGAACCAGCCAAGUAGCGUGAAGGAUGACUGCCCUAUGUGUUGUAAACUUCUUUUAUAUGGGAAUAAAAUGUUCCACGUGUGGGAUUUUGUAUGUACCAUAUGAAUAAGGCUCGUCUAACUCCGUGCCAGCAGCCGCGGUAAUACGGAGGAUCCGAGCGUUAUCCGGAUUUAUUGGGUUUAAAGGGAGCGUAGGUGGAUUGUUAAGUCAGUUGUGAAAGUUUGCGGCUCAACCGUAAAAUUGCGGUUGAAACUGGCAGUCUUGAGUACAGUAGAGGUGGGCGGAAUUCGUGGUGUAGCGGUGAAAUGCUUAGAUAUCACGAAGAACUCCGAUUGCGAAGGCAGUUCACUGGACUGCAACUGACACUGAGGCUCGAAAGUGUGGGUAUCAAACAGGAUUAGAUACCCCGGUAGUC
rnacentral:rRNA from 1 species